rnacentral:lncRNA from 1 species
AUGACGACGGAGAGACGUCAGCUGAUCCUUUGUUUAUCAAAAGAAACAAAAAUAUCUUCUGUCACAAAUAAGAAAUAUAAAAUCUGUCUUUAUCUAAAUACAUCUUCUUCAGCCAAACACACGCGUGUAGAUUACAUCAUAUUUACAUACCGCUCAUUAGCAUGUUGCUCAUUAACAUACCGCUCAUUAGCAUGUUGCUCAUUAACAUACCGCUCAUUAGCAUGUUGCUCAUUAACAUACCGCUCAUUAGCAUACAGUACGAGCAGCUGCUUUCAGAGUCUAUUCAGUCACCAAGCUGCUUUAUUCCCUUUGAGCGUCCCCCACACACUGAGGGGAUUGUGGGUAAUGAGUCCUCAGGUGAGAUCUGUAGUUCUAGUACUGGAUGUACUCAGACUGAAGAGACUGUAUGGAUCGCGCUCAAGUAGCGUCCCUGACCGGCCCCUCAGAGCACUGUAGGAGACCCUGUAGGGGCUCAGGUCCUGAAUCCUGCCGCUGGGCGCCACAGAGUCGGCGUACGGACCGCCGCCAUUGUUGUUUACCUCGUGCUGCGUGCUACGAGGGCCGUUACCAUAGCGACACAGAGGGGGCGGGGCCAUGUGGGAGGGGGAGGAGCUGAGAGACACGGCGGACGGGGGGGGGGGCGAGGCGUCCUCUACGUCGACGUAAAGAUCGCUGAGAGAGCUCGCCAACCGAGAGCUGCAACACACAACACAAUAUAACACAAUACACACACACACUGCCCGUACUGAGUCAAACAGGAAGUAGGCGGUGACACUGACCUCCUGAUGUUGGACGCUGUUGACGCCGGACUUCUCCCGAUCCUCUUGGCGGCAGCAGAAGCAGAGGAUGGGAAUUUGGAGGACUUGAGGGGGGAGGGGGGGCCCUGACCACCGCCCAUCGACAAUCUGAACACAUAACCGUUGACACGUUUAUGAAUUAUUAUCGUCUUUAAGAAGUUGAAAUCCGACGGGACGUUUUCUAAUUUAUCUUUUUUUAUUGUGUUUUUCUGUUUUCAGUUUCACAGAAAAGUUAAAAAUACACACAAAUAUUUAAAAAGUACUAAAACAAAGAAUUCAACAUGAAGAGAAACAUUGAUGAGGUGUGUAACCUGCUCUACAUCUCGUUACGUCAGAGAACAGAAGAUGAAGAAGAAGAAGGAGAAGAAGAAGGAGAAGAAGGAGAAGAAGAAGAAGAAGAAGAAGAAGAAGAAGAAGAAGGGCGUGACAGCAGCUGUUACCUGAGCGGCUGCGAGGCGGCCCGGCUGUGUAUCUUUGUCUCCUCCAGCCUGAAAGAAAACACGUGUGUAACUCACUGCGAGGAGCUGAACAGUCAAACAAUAAUAGCGUUCACAGCUGACUGGACGCCAUGCUAACGAGCUAACAGUAGGUAGCUUCAGCAGAGACUCGUUAACGAGUCACAGGAAGUCAUCAGGAAAUGAUUCAAACUUCACGUUAGUGAUGAAUAGAGAACUCACGACGGAUUGUGUGGUGCUCGCAGUUUAUCUGGACACUCGCCGUCCGCAGACAGAAACCCGGAGGCCGCGUAUCGCACAAUUAACGUUUAAAACUCCAGCAGCCGGACUUCCGGUGGACGGCGAGGCAGCAUGGCUGCUUGAAAAGUGGGCUCCUUAUGCCAACCGAUAAACUCCGCCAAAACUCGAAAAUUAAAACACAUUAAAUCGUUGACAACGAGCGGAGGAUCAACCAAGACAAGGAUUAAGAAAGCAUAGUAAUAAUAAGGAGAACAAGCUAACGGCUGAAGCUAGCACAGCGAUGGCUAAACCACAAGCUAACCUGGACAGCACGAGCAAUCCCAAGACAUGAAAAGAGAAAUUAAAACAGACUUGAGUAUCUUUAAGGACAUCGCCACACAAAUACAAAAGAGAUGACAGAAUCAAGGAGAACAUUAAUCAGAAACUCAAAAAUAUACGCAGAAGUAGGAGAACGAUAAGAGAGACGCGGUCAUGACUCUGAGGAAGAUGAGUGUUGGAGGAAGAUUAGUGUUGGAGAACCGAGGCUCAAAGCGCCACGCAAGAAAUAAUCAAACAGAAGAUUAUGGUGGAAAAGCUGGAAGACUUAGAAUCGAGAUCCAGACGGAACAACUUGAAUAUACGGCAUACCAGAGGAUGCAGAGCUGAAAAGCGACACAGUGGCGAUUGUGUGUAGAGAAAUGGCUGCGGGACGAGCCAGAUUCCCUGGCACCGAAACCCAAAUCGGGACAACCACCAAGAUCGAUAAUCCUGAACUUUUUGCAAUUCCAGGUAAAAGAGAUGGUUUUGAAAAGAAACAAUCAAACUCGGAGACAGUAGGAUUUACUUCGAUUACUUGAUUACACCGCGAGGCGCAAAUCGUAUGCAGGGUGUUAAGAAGAUAUUGAAGGGGGAAGGCAUCCGCUUUCACACACCCCUCCAUAGGAUGCGCAUUCACUGGGCUAAUUGAAGACAUACAGCAGCGCAG